rnacentral:rRNA from 1 species
UACGUAGGGGGCAAGCGUUGUCCGGAAUCAUUGGGCGUAAAGAGCGUGUAGGCGGCCCGAUAAGUCCGCUGUGAAAGUCCAGGGCUCAACCCUGGAAUGCCAGUGGAAACUGUCGGGCUGGAGUCCGGAAGAGGCAAGUGGAAUUCCCGGUGUAGCGGUGAAAUGCGCAGAUAUCGGGAGGAACACCAAUGGCGAAGGCAGCUUGCUGGGACGGUACUGACGCUGAGGCGCGAAAGCGUGGGGAGCAAACAGG